UGAAAGUUGCCGUCGCUGGCAGUAGGCUACUCUGGAGGACAGGAGCGUUUUCUUGUGCUUAUUUCACGCUGGGCAUCGUGUGACAAAAGCUCCCUGGAAUCCUGCCUUAUUUCACCCGACAUUUGACUAGUAGACUACCCAUGUUCAUCAAGCUGACGCGCCCUCCCUCCUCCACUCUGACCCCUCGGGCCUCUUGCCCAUAGCACAAACAAGGCCAAGAUCACAGCUGGCUGUCAGUAUGACAGCCUGACCACUGUUUUCCCCUGAUUAAAUUUAGUUUGUGUUUUUUUUGAUUGUAUGCUCCCUAGUGGUGACCUGCUCUGUCCUUAGCCCAUUAUUGUGCCUUCCAACGCCAAGUAGCGGCGCUAGGUUGGUUUAUGGUCAGGUUGAGUUAGUUGGUUGUUCAUCCCCAGUUUGUUUGUUUUCUGCUUUUCCCUUCUCCUACCCUGUCGGCACUGGCCUAGUCGGCCAGUGUUUUUGAGCAGCCCUCUUAACCAUCCGCUCGAGGGCUGCCUCAGUUAAUGUUCCCCUCCUGAUUUUUCUCCCUUUUACUGGUUUGAGUUUUAUUAUUUUUAUUUGUCUCCUCUUGUCUCUUUGCCCCUCCUAGCUGUGACCAAUUGUAAUUUUGCUAGAUAGCCAAUGCCUGUAUAGCAAUAGGCUCCUUCUUAGUAUAUGCCCUAGUGGCCAGUGUGGGUUUCAAACCAUUUCAUGAGUGUUCUUUAGUGUGAUUGAUUACUCACUCCUGAUGAUUGCAGUGUAGUGGCACUUGUGGGUGCGUGUGAGCACAGUUUUGUUCCCUCCUAGUCGAGCGACGGCAUAUGGUAUUUUGCUAACUAGUGCUUAAAAGACAGUCACAGCUGUACCCAGGGGUCCUUGUCUUUGUGUUAUCCCCAAGUUUAUUGAGCUAUUAUUGUUUGUUUCUGUUCUGACAUUCUCCCUGACCAAGUCUCCUUUCCCCCUCCUGGAGCAGUUAAAGAGAAAUAAAAAGCAAAAAUUAUUGACCAAAGCUCUCUGUUCCUAUCCAUUUAUUUGGGUCACCUGCAACACACUUAAGGUCCACCUUGUUACAUA